ensembl:lncRNA
GGGGGUGGGGUUUGAUGCAUGUUAACAGAAGGUGGAGGUUGACAAAGUUAUUUUUGGGUCCAAGAAAAAUAAAAACAAGUAAAAAUGCUACCCUGGAAUCAAGCAUGUGGUCACAGAGACCUUGUGUGAACCAUCAGCUCGGCGAGCGUCGUCGUUCUCCUGACCACCGCCUCCAUGUUUCUCAAUCCGGCGCUCAGGAACAACGCUUUAGUUUCAGAAAAAGGGAAAAAAGUGUGUUGGGUUUGUGGGUUGGUUAGUAAACAGUGCACUCAGUGUGUGUGUGCGUGCGUGUGUGUGUGUAGGGGGAGGUGUGUGAGGUGUGUAUGUCGCACUGAAGUCCUCUUGUCUCUUACUAGCUGUAUAUCGUGCUUUUCAGAAGAAAAAAAAAAAAAACACAUCAUCCGAGAAUCAACAUUAAUAAAAAAAAUCUAUAAAGUUCUGGUUGUUGAUUUUUUAUUUAUUUUUUAAAUAGCUCCAAAUAAAAAUGAUCGAUUUAUUUAAAAUACUUUUUGAUCCAAAUCCAAUCCUGUGGAUAAGGAUUAUAUUUAACAAAGCCUGCUAUAAUAAUAAUAAUAAUAAUAAUAAUAAUAAUAAUAAUAAUAAUGAUAAUGUUGAUAAACACUAUAAAUAAAAAGUAAGAACAAAAGUUAGUGUUUCAAACUGCUGUAGGAUCUGCAUUCAAUUAGAAUAGUUUUAAAGGGUUAUGCUUUUUGUGUACCAUCAAUUGCAAAAGUUUUGACCCCCUCUCCCUAGCUUUCACCUAUUAUUCCACGAUGUGACGUAACGAAACGUAACGAGACGUGGGUGUAACCUGGAAAAAUUCUGAAAAUAAGUCAAAACAUUCAGGGCCGAGGAUCCAGAAACUGUUUAGAGGAUAUUAAAAAAGACUGGAGGCAGUUUGAAAGAAAGACGGAGAGAGAGAAUGAAAAGAGAAGGUAUUUAGAGGAUAUUAAAAAAAAAUUGAUAUAAAAUUUAAAAAAAAAAAAAAAAAGGUUAAUGGCCAUUUGAAGGAAUGAAGAAUAAAUUUAAAAACAAUUCACUGACA